UGGGGAAUAUUGGACAAUGGGCGAAAGCCUGAUCCAGCCAUGCCGCGUGUGUGAAGAAGGCCUUUUUGGUUGUAAAGCACUUUAAGUGGGGAGGAAAAGCUUGUGGUUAAUACCCAUAAGCCCUGACGUUACCCACAGAAUAAGCACCGGCUAACUCUGUGCCAGCAGCUGCGGUAAUACAGAGGGUGCAAGCGUUAAUCGGAAUUACUGGGCGUAAAGCGCGCGUAGGUGGUUAUUUAAGUCAGAUGUGAAAGCCUCGGGCUUAACCUGGGAACUGCAUCUGAUACUGGAUAACUAGAGUAGGUGAGAGGGGAGUAGAAUUCCAGGUGUAGCGGUGAAAUGCGUAGAGAUCUGGAGGAAUACCGAUGGCGAAGGCAGCUCCCUGGCAUCAUACUGACACUGAGGUGCGAAAGCGUGGGUAGCAAACAGGAUUAGAUACCCUGGUAGUCCACGCCGUAAACGAUGUCUACCAGUCGUUGGGUCUUUUAAAGACUUAGUGACGCAGUUAACGCAAUAAGUAGACCGCCUGGGGAGUACGGCCGCAAGGUUA
rnacentral:rRNA from 1 species